CAGUAGCCGCGGUAAUACGAAGGGUGCAAGCGUUAAUCGGAAUUACUGGGCGUAAAGCGUGCGCAGGCGGUUUGUUAAGACAGAUGUGAAAUCCCCGGGCUCAACCUGAGAACUGCAUUUGUGACUGGCAAGCUAGAGUGUGGCAGGGGGGGGUGGAAUUCCGCGUGUAGCAGUGAAAUGCGUAGAUAUGCGGAGGAACACCGAUGGCGAAGGCAGCCCCCUGGGCCAACACUGACGCUCAUGCACGAAAGCGUGGGGAGCAAACAGGAUUAGAUACCCCCGUAGUCCCUGUCUCUUAUAC
rnacentral:rRNA from 1 species